UACGAAGGGUGCAAGCGUUGCUCGGAAUUAUUGGGCGUAAAGCGCGUGUAGGCGGCUUUGCAAGUCGGGUGUGAAAGCCCUCAGCUUAACUGAGGAAGUGCGCCCGAAACUGCUUGGCUUGAGUACCGGAGAGGAUGGUGGAAUUCCCCAAGUAGAGGUGAAAUUCGUAGAUAUGGGGAGGAACACCGGUGGCGAAGGCGACCAUCUGGACGGAUACUGACGCUGAGACGCGAAAGCGUGGGUAGCAAACAGG
rnacentral:rRNA from 1 species